UGGGGAAUAUUGCACAAUGGGGGAAACCCUGAUGCAGCGACGCCGCGUGAGCGAAGAAGGUUUUCGAAUCGUAAAGCUCUGUCCUAUGAGAAGAUAAUGACGGUAUCAUAGGAGGAAGCCCCGGCUAAAUACGUGCCAGCAGCCGCGGUAAUACGUAUGGGGCGAGCGUUGUCCGGAAUUAUUGGGCGUAAAGGGUACGUAGGCGGUCUAUUAAGUCAGGUGUGAAAGCGUGAGGCUUAACCUCAUUAAGCACUUGAAACUGAUAGACUUGAGUGGAGGAGAGGAAAGUGGAAUUCCUAGUGUAGCGGUGAAAUGCGUAGAUAUUAGGAGGAAUACCGGUGGCGAAGGCGACUUUCUGGACUUAUACUGACGCUCAGGUACGAAAGCGUGGGGAGCAAACAGG
rnacentral:rRNA from 1 species